GCUCAUUUUAGUGUGCAUAUUCUGAACUUGGAAGAGUACAGAGAUUAGCACAGCCCUGUGCAAGGAUGACAAUUUAUGAGCUGUUUCACAUCAUG